CAGGAGGAUUGUCCAUCUGGGGUUUGAGGAUCUGUAAAGCUUCAUCACGAGGCGUCUGCAUCUUCUUGAACUUCCCAUCUGACUCAUAUCCAACACUUAUUUGCACCCCUGCUGUUUAUAACUUGUACAACCCAUUUUCCCUGGUAGAAAAGCUCCAUGACCAUGGAUUUCAUUCUAUGGACUGGACGGCUACAGAAGGAGUUUGAUUCUGUGCCUAGAGAAGCAUUUCUGUGUUGAGUUGGUGUCGUGCUUUAUGUAAUUACCCUUCAGAGAGACCAAGUGGAAACACUCUUUUUAGCUUUGAGUCUGCGUGU